GUGUUUGUUUUCUCCAUCAGCUGCUGAGAAUCACUCCAGCGGAGAGGAGCAGGGAAUAUGUGCUUCUUUCCUUUCAGGAACACCAGAGCUGUGAGUGCAGGCCCAGACGACACCACUUGAGGAAUCAACACAAUCGGAGACGGAAGGGAAAACGCAGGAGGAGACGGAGAGGAAGAAAACACCGGGAUUGAGACGCUGCCGGUGUCAGAUGUGACGAUCGCUAUGGCAAACAGGCACCUUCGUUUUCCUUCAUCAUCAUCAUCAUCAUCAUCAUCAUCAUCAUCAUCAUCA